rnacentral:rRNA from 1 species
AGGGAGUUUGAUCCUGGCUCAGAACGAACGCUGGCGGCGCGUCUUAAGCAUGCAAGUCGAGCGGGAAUAUCCAGCUUGCUGGAUACGAGAGCGGCGGACUGGUGAGUAACGCGUGGGUGACGCACCCUUGGGCCGGGGAUAGCCUUAAGAAAUUAAGGGUAAUACCGGAUACGGUCCCUUACGUUGGAGGUAAGGGAGGAAAGGAGCCACGGCUCCACCCGAGGAACGGCCCGCGACCCAUCAGCUAGUUGGCGGGGAAAAGGCCCACCAAGGCGAUGACGGGUAUCCGGCCUCAGAGGGCGACCGGACACAUUGGGACUGAGAUACGGCCCAGACUCCUACGGGAGGCAGCAGCUAAGAAUAUUCCGCAAUGGGGGGAACCCUGACGGAGCGACGCCGCGUGGACGAUGAAGGCCGGAAGGUUGUAAAGUCCUUUUCUGACGGAGGAAGAAGUGCCGGAGGGAAUGCCGGCAUGGUGACUGUAGGUCAGGAAUAAGCACCGGCUAAUUACGUGCCAGCAGCCGCGGUAACACGUAAGGUGCGAGCGUUGUUCGGAAUCAUUGGGCGUAAAGGGCAUGUAGGCGGUCAUGCAAGUCUGGAGUGAAAUGCCGGGGCUCAACCCCGGAACUGCUUUGGAAACUGUGUGACUGGAGUCACCGAGGCGGAGCCGGAAUUCCAGGUGUAGGGGUGAAAUCUGUAGAUAUCUGGAAGAACACCAAUGGCGAAGGCAGGCUUCGAGCGGAUGACUGACGCUGAGGUGCGAAGGUGCGGGGAGCAAACAGGAUUAGAUACCCUGGUAGUCCCCU